rnacentral:misc_RNA from 1 species
GGAACGUCCUGAAAAGUACGCGAAAGCCGAGAAACGAGAAGAACGAGGGAGGGUUACUACUAGCGCCGCUAGCGUGGUCAGAUACGUUUCUGUUCUACGAAACACCCAAGGUAUUAAUAAAUUGGACAAUGUCGAGCGAUUCGACUUUUUGCAACUCCCGAAUCCGGAGAAAACGGGAUAAUCCAGGUUGGACGCACGCGUGGCAACGAAGAAAAACGGGAGCAGCCGGGAACAAGCCGAAUAAAGGGGAAUGGAGGAGCGAACAUCGACGCUACGAAACUUUUCAAUGGGCCAGGACAGAGUGAGAGAAAGGGACGAAAACGUAGUCGAGGAAGCACGCUUUUAACCUACAUGCUGCCGUUGCCCGUUCAAUCGGCAAUUCGAAUUACGCCACCGGCACAAUCGACUUUGUUGCAGUCCUGUGACGAGUUCGUCCCUCGGUCCCGGCAUUUUCGCGAUUUUCAAGCUACGAUGUUUCGAUGCACCAGCCCUCAUUCGUUGCUAGUUCUACUCGUCGAACGUUCAGAAA